rnacentral:lncRNA from 1 species
CGACCCAGAACUCAGGGAAGAGUGUUCGCAGUGACACAGCAUGAUGCCGAUGAGUCACCAGAUGUGGUUAUGGGUACGUUAUCUAUUUUUGGCAAGAAGGCUCGUUCUUUAAUAGAUUCAGGUGCUACACAUUCAUUUAUAUCUUAUGCAUUUGCUAUUUAUGCGGACCAUAUGUCAGAAUCAUUAGAUAGUGAUUUGGUGGUAGCAACUCCUGUAGGAGAUUCACUUUUAGCUAACAGUGUGUACAAAGAUUGCGUGAUUAGUGUGAAUGAUCAUGAGUUGAAAGUUAAUUUGAUUCCACUUGAUAUUCAUGAUUUUGAUGUGAUAUUGGGCAUGGAUUUUUUGUCUGUGAAUCAUGCAUCAGUUGAUUGUUUUCGCAAAGAAGUGGUGUUUCGAAGGCCAGGAGAGCCUGAAAUCAUUUUUAGUGGUGAACGGAGAAUACUACCUUCAUGUAUCAUAUCAGCACUUGAUGCUGGGAGAUUGCUUAGAAAAGGUUGCCAAGCAUAUUUAGCUCAUGUGAUUGACACUCAGAUCACUAAAUUGAAACUUGAAGAUAUACCAGUGGCAAAAGAUUUCCCUGAUGUUUUUCCUGAAGAUCUUCCAGGGUUACCUCCUGAUAGGGAAAUCGAGUUUACUAUUGAUUUGAUUCCAGGGACUACCCCUAUUUCACAAUCACCUUACAGAAUGGCUCCAGCAGAGUUGAAGGAAUUGAAAGUUCAGUUGCAGGAUUUAGUUGAUAAGGGUUUCAUUAGACCCAGUGUAUCUCCAUGGGGAGCUCCAGUCUUGUUUGUGAAGAAGAAAGAUGGCACAAUGAGAUUGUGUGUUGACUACAGACAGUUGAAUAAAGUGACAGUUCGCAACAAGUAUCCGUUGCCUCGCAUUGAUGAUUUGUUUGACCAACUUAGAGGUGCCUCAGUGUUUUCGAAAAUUGAUUUACGUUCGGGGUAUCAUCAGCUCAAAAUUAGAGAUAUCGAUGUACCAAAAACUACUUUUAGGUCACGGUAUGGCCAUUGUGAGUUUUUGGUGAUGCCAUUUGGGUUAACUAAUGCCCCUGCAGCGUUUAUGGAUUUGAUGAAUAGAGUGCUUCGCCCAUAUUUAGACAGAUUUGUGAUUGUUUUUAUUGAUGAUAUCUUAGUUUAUUCUCGCAGUAGGGAUGAGCAUGCUGAGCAUUUGAGGAUUAUUUUGCAAACCUUGCGAGAUAAGCAGUUGUAUGCUAAGUUCAGCAAAUGUGAAUUUUGGCUGGAUAAAGUUGUAUUUUUAGGUCAUGUUAUCUCAGCUGAAGGUAUUUAUGUAGAUCCUCAGAAAAUUGAAGCAGUAAUGAAAUGGGAACGCCCUACUAAUGUUACAGAAGUACGGAGUUUUCUUGGGUUAGCAGGUUAUUAUCGUCGAUUUGUAGAGAAUUUUUCCAAAAUUGCUCUUCCUUUGACUAGUUUGACUCGAAAGAACUCCAAAUUUGUGUGGACUGAUGAAUGUGAAAAGAGUUUUCAAGAGUUGAAGAAAAGAUUAGUUUCUGCUCCUAUACUUACUCUUCCAUCUCCAGGUGAGGAGUUUGUGAUUUAUAGUGAUGCUUCACGCCAAGGAUUGGGUUGUGUUUUAAUGCAAAAUGGGAAAGUUGUAGCUUAUGCUUCAAGACAAUUGAAGAAGCAUGAGUUAAAUUACCCAACUCAUGAUUUGGAGUUAGCUGCAGUAGUGUUGGCAUUGAAGAUUUGGAGACAUUAUCUUUAUGGUGAGAAAUGUCAAAUAUUUACUGAUCACAAAAGUUUAAAGUAUAUAUUUGAUCAGAAAGAACUGAAUCUAAGGCAAAGGAGAUGGCUGGAGUUGAUAAAGGAUUAUGAUUGUAACAUUGACUACCAUCCGGGGAAAGCAAAUGUAGUUGCAGAUGCUCUCAGUAGAAAGACAAGUUCAGCUUCUCCAUCAAGUGCAGUUUAUGCUUCUUUGAUUUGUGAGUUCAAGAAGUUACACACUGAGUUGACAACUACUACUUCAGGGGCAAUAUUAGCUCAUUUUCAAGUGAGGCCUACUUUGAUUGAUAAGGUUAGAGAAGCUCAAUCUCAAGACCAGACAUUGAGAAUGUUGAAAGCAGAAGUUACUACUGGGUUAAGAACGGAUUAUAUGAUUAGAGAUGAUGGGGCGCUGUCUAUGGGUAACAGAUUAUGUGUUCCAAAUAUUCCAGAAUUGAAGAAAGAGAUUUUGGAGGAAGCCCACAGUUCUGCUUAUGCUAUGCAUUCAGGCAGUAUUAAAAUGUAUCAUACAUUGAAGGAUCAUUAUUGGUGGCUUGGUAUGAAGAGAGAGAUAGCAGAUUUUGUAUCCAAAUGUUUUAUAUGUCAGCAGGUAAAGCCAGUUCGUCAGAAAACAGCAGGACUUUUACAGCCAUUGCCUAUCCCAGAAUGGAAAUGGGAACACAUUACUAUGGACUUUUUAUUUGGUCUUCCUCGUACUCAAAAUGGUCAUGAUGGAGUUUGGGUGAUUGUCGAUCGUUUGACCAAAACUGCCAAGUUCUUGCCGAUCAAAGCCACUUAUACUUUAAAUAAGUUGGCAAAGUUGUAUGUGGAUGAAAUAGUGAGCUCUUAUGGUACUCCCUUAUCUAUUGUGUCAGAUAGAGACCCUCGUUUUACAUCUAAAUUUUGGCCCAGUUUGCAGGAAGCCAUGGGUACUAAACUACAUUUCAGUACAGCUUUUCAUCCUCAGACAGAUGGCCAGUCAGAGAGGACCAUACAGACUCUUGAGGAUAUGUUGAGGGCUUGUGUUUUAGAGCUAAAGGGUAGUUGGGAUACUCAUUUGUCAUUGAUGGAGUUUGCUUACAAUAACAGUUAUCACUCUAGUAUAGAAAUGGCUCCUUUUGAAGCUUUAUAUGGUCGGAAGUGCAGGACACCAGUUUGUUGGGACGAAGAUGGUAAGAGGAAGUUAAAAGGCCCGGAAUUGGUUGAAAUGACAUCUGAAAAUGUGAAAUUGAUUAAAGAAAAGUUGAAAGCAGCUCAUGAUAGACAGAAAAGUUAUGCGCAUAAGCGCAGGAAAGACCUUGAAAUUGCAGUAGGAGAUAAAGUUUUUCUUAAAUUAUCUCCUUGGAAAGGGGUGUUGAGAUUUGGCAAGCGAGGAAAGUUGAGUCCACGAUAUAUUGGACCUUAUGAGAUUAUUGAGCGGAUUGGUCCAGUUGCAUAUCGAUUAGAUCUGCCCAAUGAAUUAUCCCGGAUCCAUGAUGUUUUUCAUGUUUCCAUGCUUCGCAAAUACAUUGCUGAUCCUUCUCAUGUUCUGGAGUUUCAGCCAAUUCAGUUGAAGGAGAAUUUGACUUAUAUAACAGAACCAGUGAAAAUUUUGGACAAGAAAGUGCAAACUCAACAAAACCAGACAAUUUCACUUGUUAAAGUACUUUGGCAGAAUCAUACAGUAGAAGAAGCUACAUGGGAGAAUGAGGAUCAGAUGCGUGCUCAAUAUCCUCGUUUAUUCAUUGCCUAGUCAGUUGCCAGUUGAAUUUCGAGGACGAAAUUCUUUUAAGGAGGUAAGAUUGUUACAACCCAUAUUUUUUAUCUAGUCAAAGUCCAUAGUGGAAUUUUCAAAGUUAAGUCUAAUGAGGACUUGUAUAAAAUAAAUCAUUUUUAUUGGGACUUGAUUGACCAAAUCAUUUUAUUUGGGUUUAUUUUGCAAUUGGCAAAAUAUGAAGGUUGAAUUGGAUAUAUUUAAAAGUUUGGAAUUUAUAUAUAUACUUUUGGAAGUUUAAGGAUUAAAGGUUACUAAAAAGUAAAGUUAAGGGACUUAAUUUGCAAUUAUGGGAUUGUGGACAAAUUAAUUCAAACCUUUGACCCAUUUUUUCUCAUUUCACACCAAAACACACACACACACACUACGAGAAGCAGAACCGGCCAAGAAGAAAGAAAAAGAAGAGGAAAAGAAAAAGGGAAAAAAGGAAAAGAAAAAGGAAGAAGAAGGGGAAAAAGAAAAGGAAAGGAGGUAAGGUUGAUAUCUUCAAGUUGAGUUUAAUUUUUCCAUUUGUCUUAGAUGAUUAAGUAUGGGUUAUAUUAAAAUUUUUAGGGUUUUAUCAUGUAAUAAUAAAAUGUUAAAUUUAUGUGAUAUAUAUACGAUUUGGAGCUCAAGCUUAGGGAUUAAUUAUGUUGCAGUUUUAACAAGGUGUUUAGGCAAGGAAAAUUUUGGAAACCCUAGAAUCCGAUUUUGGGGAUUUUAAUUAAUUAAUUGUGGAAGUGAUUAUCUAAAUGGAAUAUUUCAUUUGGGAGUUGAUUUUAAUGAGCAAAUGUAUAUUAGAUGGGUGGAAAUUAUGGUCACUAGUUUCAUUACAUUGGAAAGAAAAAUUAGUUUUAACUUGGGAAGAAGGUUUUGUUGAUAAAUUAGUUAUUAGAAAAGGAAUUAGAAAGUGGGAUUAGCUCCAUUGAUCAAAAGAAUAUUUGGGAAUUCAUUCGAGCAUCGACCAAUUUUGGUUAAGUAUUAUAGAAGUAGAUUUUAAAGUUUCUUAAUUUAAUAGUAGUUGAUUAGCCAUCUUGUUAUGUAUUCCAGGUGGUGACGAGGAAGUUGGAAGAGCCUAUCGACCAGUUUAGGUUCAGCUUGUGUUAUGUGAGUGGAUAAGCUUAUUUUUUUUAGAAAUAAGUAUUUAUUUAAUUUUGAAGUUACGUAUUUUAUAAGUUGAGUUGAUAGCAUGAUUUUUUUAGAAAAAACGAAUUUUAUUAUCAAAUGUGAAUGUGUUUCCAUAGUGUAUGACCAUUUUAUAGCUCUGCGCGCGUAUGAUCAGAAUUUCAGAAUUUUAGAAUUACAGAAUUUCAGAAUUUAAUGACCUUGCUAUGUAUAUCGAGAUUAAUCGAUACACGAGUAUGGUUAUUCAGGAUACAUUUUUGGUGUGAUGUUUCAGUAUUACAUAGCUUGUCAGAUUUUAGAAAUAGAUUUUACAGUAUUUAGUUGAUUCAGCUGAAAGAAUGAAGAUUUUAGUUUAACGUAUUGUGAAAGGAAAUAUUUACUAUAUAUUAGUAUUUAGAAAGGUGUUAUAAAUGUUAAAGUAUAACUUUUACAAAUAUCCACUCACUGAGUCGCAAGCUCAUAUUUUUGUCACCUCAUUUCUUAUCAGAUAGAAGGUGCGUUGAGCCAUAUCAAAGCCUAUCGUUGACGAGUUGAGCUUCAUCGUGUCCUUGUUUGUAUGUCUCAUUUUGUUAAUUCAUACAGCAUAUAUUUUGGGGGUUAAUGUAUUUUGUAUAAAAAAUGUAUUAAGUCUCAUAUCCAUUGCCUAUUUUGUGUAUGUUUUGAAAUGGUAAAUUUUUUUUUCAGUACAACUCCUUGAAGAAUUAGUAUUUUGAUGGGCUAGUGUACCCUAUUAUAAAGUAUGUGUAUAUGUUUGGGAUUUUUGAUUUUAUUCUCAG